GCCAGGCGUGGUGGCGGGCGCCUGUAGUCCUAGCUACUCAGGAGGCUGAGGCAGGAGAAUCGCUUGAGCCCAGGGAGGCGGAGGUUGCAGUGAGCCAAGAUCGUGCCACUGCACUCCAGCCUGGGCAACAGAGUGAGAAUCUGUCUCAA
rnacentral:SRP_RNA from 2 species